rnacentral:lncRNA from 1 species
AAAUGACCAUUCUCUAACCCUAUCUCUCUCCCUCCCUCCUCCCUCUAAAAAAUUCUCUAACUUCACUCCUCUUUCACUCUCUUCAAUCGACGUCGUCGCCGCUCCCCUCUCCCUCUUCCCUGCUCCUCUUCUCGAUUCCAAUGAACGCGACGAUAGCGGCGCAGAUGUCGCUCCUCCCUUCCUCUCUCUUUUUUCUCCACCGACUUCUCCUCUCAUUUUCUCCUUACCUUCUCUCUUAUUUCUCUUUGUUUCUUCAUCGCUUUCGCCGGCGACGACGGUGAUGGCAGCGUCGCCGCCGCCGCCCUCCCUCUUUUUCCCUCUUCUUUCCCUUAUUCUCCUCUCCUUUUCUCCUUACCUUCUCUCUUCCCUCUCAUGGUCUCCUUUCUGUUUUUCCUACAGCGACGGUGGUGGCUGCGGCGCCGUCGCCGCCCUCUAAUCUCCUCUCUCCCCCUCACCCCAUCAGGCGUCGCCGCCUCCGUCCUAUGUCUUCACCUUCUCCUUCCUCCUCUGCAACGGCGACAAAGAGGAAAAAAAGGUAAAAACAAACAGAUCUAUUUCUUUACCCCUCUAUUCUCUUGAUUUCAAAUAGAUCUGAGCUUGCAUGCAUCGGAGGAUACCUCCGGCGAAUCCUCCGACGACAUGCAAGCCCCUAUCUACAAAUCUAGGGUUUUGUUUAUGAUUAUCCAUUUGAGACAUCUAUUUGUUUUUUUUUUGGCUGGGUACCGGCGAGGUGACAAACCGAUUCACCGACGCAACCCCGAUCGUCGGGGCAGGAUCCGUCACUGGCGAAUUUGUACACGGGAAAGGUAAAGAGAGGAUCCUUCUCCCUUUUUCUAUAAAUUCAAAAUCUGAUUUCUGAUUGUUGUUUCUAGGUAAAGAGUUCAACGUGAAAGGGAAGUUGAAAAAGAGGAGAUUGAAUCGGGGAAGGUAAAAAAAUGAUACUAAAAACUGUUGUUUCGAAAAGCAAUGUUAUUAUAAAUUUUUUAGGUGUUAACUUGCGUUUCUACAGGUGAAAACCUUGCUGUUUUGAAAUUGGAAUAAGUUCAGUGAACAUAAAAUGAUUUCAAAUUUUAAAAAAAAGGUUUGAUUAUAUUAUCUUUUUUAAUAAAAUUCCAGCAAUUUGUUUUGACAAUAAAGCUCAUUGUUGCUUAAUUUUAAUCAUAUCUUAAGUCUUUUGUAGUUUUUCAGCCUUUUUAAUGCUAGUGGUGCUAAAAUGAUGAUAAAUAAUCAACCUAAACCUUUAUUAACAAAUUUCCAGCAAGCUUAUUUGUACUGACAAAAGCUUCAUUUUUAUUCAUUAGUUUAUUAUUUGCUAAGGUAAAUCGUUUAUCCGUUUAGUUGUGCUGAAGAUUAUAUUAAUAGUUUAAAUAGUAAUAGAUAAUAUAACAUACGACAUUAACAAGCAUAUCAAUAUAUAUAGGAACUAAAAUAUGAAAGAUAUGUAAAUGAUUGAGAAUUAGGAAAAAGUUUGUUUGGGGUACCGACUUGCUACCGUUGACUUUGGUUCUCGAAAGCUUCGUACUGUGGAUUGAACUUCUAUCUCUUGCUUCAGGAAUUUUGGGGGUUCGAUGAGCCUUGAAAGUUUGAUAGAAGCACCUCCUCUAGUGCAUUUAACGCUUUUCAAUCUUUGUAUCUUUUCUUUGUUCUGUAUUUUUUUUGGGAUUGUACGGUGUUGUUGUUUUGUGGUAAGUUUGGUGGGAUUGGGGAUGUUGUUGGGGAAUUUUGUGACAAGUUUUGUGGAGUUGUAAAACAACGACUGUCUUAUUUGGAAGUUCCCUUUUUGGGAUUUUUUCGCCUCUUCCAACUUGUGGUCCAAGAAUGGUAUUUAUAUAAAAAUUUAUCCUCAUUUCCGUCCAUCUCUUCCAAUUGAUUAAUGGACAACAGCAGAAUGCCCCCUAAAAAUGGCUGCCAAUUAAUGGGCCUGAAA